ACUUGCUUUCUGCCAGGUGAGGAGGAGGGCAGAACCCAAGGCUGUGCCUACAGCUCGGGAACCAGUCAAGAGCAAGGGGGAGGGGAGGAGGCCCAGUCAGACAGGUGCCAGGAAGGCGGGGUGGCU